CUGACCUUGUCGCACGUCGUCUUCUACGUGCUGCGCAUCGACAUGGUCGCCGCCAUGCCAAGAAGCGCAGCAAGAAGGACGCCCGGGCCACACUUGACCCUGAGCGCGUCCGCCGGACCGGUGGUGAUCCUGGCGCUGGUCCCAGCAACACUGCGGCACCUGCCGCAGCAACCGCCAGCGCCACGUCAAGACCGAUGGGUGCGUCCUCCAUCGCCUUCGCCGGAGCGGGUUGCAGAGCGGUUGCGUGAGUCCGAGACCCAGCAGCCACUCCGCCCGAUGCGGUACUGCCCCCUCCAUGGAUGGGGGUCGUGUCCUGCUCGCCAACCGCGGGCUCCUCCAACGGAUGCAGACAAAGCAGCCCCCGUUGUUCGAUCGAGCGGACUGCUCGUUCAAGUCGCCUCUCCAGCGCGCCCUCAUGCCCGGACACGGCUGACUGCGUGGAAAUCAACCGACCCUCGCGGUCGCCCCGUCGGCCAGAUCGCAUCCACGUCCACUGCGACCGUUGCCGUCGAAGCCACCUCUUCCUCCUUCGACGAUGAGAGGAUCGCCUUAGUCUUCGGCGACGGGGUGCAGCAGCGACUGCCUACUCCGACUCCCGACGACGGCCCAUCCGGAACGGUCUCACCGACGGCGCCCUUGAGCCCAAGCGGCAACAAAGUGGUCCGUCGGCUCGCGCACCACCUUUCCCCGCGACCACGUGCGCCGGGGUCGUGGUCUGCAACCGCAAGACCGUCCGACGACGACGUCCGCGAGCGCUCGCGCUCCCUGCCUCGUCGUUUUCCCUGA
rnacentral:misc_RNA from 1 species